GCCUCUCUUCUCUUUUAACAUUUCACAUUUGUGCAUGUCCCAUUUCAGUUUCCUCUCUCUUCUCUUCUCUCUGUUUGAAUGCAAAAUUGAGAUCAUUGUUCAUUGUUCUUUCAUGGGUCCUCAGCUAGCUUUGGAGAACAAUAUGCAACUGCCUCUGCAACUGUGAGGAAGAUCUUGUUCUCACCAAUCAUGUUUGCAAGCUUUGAUGUGUAAAUCUUGUCAAUCACCACUGGGCCAGGAUUUGCCAGAACAAGCUGUGUCCAAACAAAGAAAAAUUAAAGAGACUCCUUUUGUUGAUAGUCCUUCACAGAUGCAAAUGUUCUUCCAAUUGCUACAGCUUCCUGAUAGCAGAAAUGCAACGGUUCGAUUGGAAUAUGGAGGAAUAUAAACUUUUCAAGAGAGGUAUACAUUAAUGUCAAGAUUUAUUACUUACAGUUAGUGCUAUCAUGCCUGCCAUGACACCAAUUCUAAAACCUUUCCCAAGGUAGUCACCGGUGAAAUAUAUUUCUUUAACAGAUGAAGGAUUGAUCCCUUUUUUAAUGUUUCUAACCUUCACAUAUAAAUAGACACAUAUUUAGUUCUGCUGCAUUUAUAGUCAUUCUUGAUUCUGACUCCAAUCAUAUGAAUAACACAGGGUUCUAUCUAUUUUACUUA